rnacentral:rRNA from 1 species
UACGGAGGGUGCAAGCGUUAUCCGGAUUCACUGGGUUAAAGCGUGCGCAGGCGGUUUUGUAAGCCAGAUGUGAAAUCCCCGGGCUUAACCUGGGAAUGGCAUUUGGGACUGCAAGGCUUGAGUUUGGCAGAGGAGACUGGAAUUCCUGGUGUAGCAGUGAAAUGCGUAGAUAUCAGGAGGAAUACCGAUGGCGAAGGCAGGUCUCUGGGCUAGAACUGACGCUCAUGCACGAA